UACGGAGGAUGCAAGCGUUAUCCGGAAUGAUUGGGCGUAAAGCGUCCGCAGGUGGCUAUGUAAGUCUGCUGUUAAAGAGUGAGGCUCAACCUCAUAAGAGCAGUGGAAACUACAUGGCUAGAGUGCGUUCGGGGCAGAGGGAAUUCCUGGUGUAGCGGUGAAAUGCGUAGAUAUCAGGAAGAACACCGGUGGCGAAGGCGCUCUGCUAGGCCGCAACUGACACUGAGGGACGAAAGCUAGGGGAGCGAAUGGG
rnacentral:rRNA from 1 species